UACGUAGGGCGCAAGCGUUAUCCGGAAUUAUUGGGCGUAAAGAGCUCGUAGGCGGUUUGUCGCGUCUGCCGUGAAAGUCCGGGGCUCAACUCCGGAUCUGCGGUGGGUACGGGGCAGACUAGAGUGAUGUAGGGGAGACUGGAAUUCCUGGUGUAGCGGUGAAAUGCGCAGAUAUCAGGAGGAACACCCGGUGGCGAAAGGCGGGGUCUCUGGGCCGAUACUGACGCUGAGGAGCGAAAGCGUGGGGAGCGAACAGG
rnacentral:rRNA from 1 species